CCCUGGUGGCUCAGAGGACAAAGCGUCUGCCUGCAAGGCAGGAGACCCGGGUUCGAUCCCUGGAUCAGGAA
rnacentral:tRNA from 1 species